GUGGAGAUUGAAAAAGAGGAGGAGGAGGAAGAAAGAAAGACUGCAGAAGACCCCAAGGGCUGUCCCUAUUCCUCCACUCUGCCCCAACCCGAAACUGUCAGUCUGCACUAAGCCCCAGAGAGACAGAGAGAAGUGGGGGCGGGGAGAAAGAGACGGAGGGGGGGAAAUCAAAGAAAAUUGCAAAAGUCAAUGGCCUGGAACUAGAGGCAGCCUCAGCAACUGCAGUGUGACUUUGAUUCCCCUAUCAUAACCCUGAAUUAAAAAUUCAGGCAAUUAUCUGCAUGGCUUCAUUCUGAUUAGAAUGAGCCGGAGUCUCAUUAAUGCAUCAGCACAGAGGAAAGCCAUUAGGGUCUGUGAAAUGGAAUGUUUCUCUGAGAACAGGUUCCGCUUGAUGUAGAAUACCCAGCAAAAAGAAAUUUCACACAUUUCUGAGCUCCAAGUCACAGGACAGCUCCCUGCUUCAGGGCUGCAGACCCCGCCACAGUUGUCCCCUCUCAGGUGGCUCUGGGGUGAAAGCCACCUUUGUUUCCCAGCCUCUCUCUGGCACCUCCAGCUGCUGGAGUUGUGUAGAGGGAGGGGGAGGCAGUUGAAGGACCCGAAGGGACUUCCUGGAUGCUCCCUUGGCUUGGUCCUGAGACACCGAGUCAGCCUGGCUGCCCAGUCUCGAGUCCCUGAGCCAUGAAGAACACCAGAACUGCCUGAGAAUCCCCUGCCCUUCUUUGCUAGAAGAUCCAGAAGCAAGUUUGUCAAGGACCUCAAAGGUCCAAGACUCCAGUGAAGCUCAAAGUAUCUCCAUGUCUUCAACAUCGUGGUACUUUCCUGACCCAUGUGGUGACUUGGGUGUCCCCAGGUGCUCCGGGAAGGAUCUGGUGGAGUUGAGCUAGUCUUGAAGGCUUGUUGCUUAGGAGAGGGUGAAGGGCUGGAGGUUUCUAAAAAGCUCAGAGCUUUUAAACAUGCAAAUCUACUGCCCAUCCCCAAGUGGAUGAACAUCCCUGUGGCAUCUGGCAUUCAGACACGCUCAGGUACCCGCUUGUUGGAAUUUCCAGGAUGCAGCUUUCUUCUUCAAAUGAUUGCGUAUUGCUUCCAGGGAAACUCUGAGAACAGUUUUCUAAGCAACUGCCCUUACAUUCCUAGUAGCUUCACUCUUGGGAGAAUUGGGCUUGACCCAGAAGAAUCAUCUAGAUUUUCUUCGAGCCAGUGGGUGGGACCUGGGUUCCCCCAUUUUGGACACCUUCACGUUCUUCUAACACAGGGAUUCUCAGGAUGCCAAACGUCGAUCCUUGGGAUGUAUAACAUAAACAACCUCUUCAGGAGAAGAGCCAAUCUUGCAUGGUGAGAACUGGAAAAGAUGAAAACAUUUUUGCAAAAAGGGAACCAGUCGCCAUCAAUAUGAUGCCGACCAGGAAAAUGUUUCCCUUCAGCCCAUUUGUGAAAGUUAUGUUCUUCUCCUGGCACAUCCAUUAACUAUCCAGUGUUAGGAACCAGGGCCAAAUGUCCGUGCAAAGCUGUUAACACAAGGAGACUGUAAUCAGAAUGAUGGAGUCAGUAUGUAACUGAUAUAAUUUGUAUCAAUGGUGCCCCCUGCUGUACACCAGAGAAACUAGGCAACCAGUGGUAAUUCAGGUUUUCAAAAUGUUUUCAGUCACAUCCCACGUUAGAAGGGUACAUUCUUGGUCACCAGGGAGUUUUUUAUAAAGCAUGUUUUCAGUACUGCAGACAGUUUUUAUGGGUGAAGGCUCCUAGAGUUUGCCUCACCCUCCAACACAAACAAGAUGCUUGGUAAUUCAACCGUGUUCUUUGCCGGUUCUGAGUGUCAGUCUUCCUAACACUUUGCUCUCAUGCUCUCACUUUACUGACAACACUCAGCGAAGUCACAUGCAGUUGAGAAUUACUUAUGACGACAGAUGAUCCCCGUGUAAAGGGCACCUGAAGUCUUGAGUGGGUGGAGGCUGUCUCUCGGGGCUCACCAGCUGGUAUGAGAACUGCCCAAAGGUCAGGAGGGUGGGCCUGCUAGAGAGGGAAGCGGGCCCACCAGCUCCAAGCGCAGGCCCUCUUUCUGCCAUUCGAAACGAUCACAUCUCGGUCUUUCUUAUCUUCGUACCUUCCACUGUAGUUCUCCAUAUUUUACACACAGACUCUUCCCAGUCGGAUCAUUCCUUUCUUCCCAGGAGAACUCAGUUCCUACCUUUGUAACUUGUCACUCCUUAUUCAUUCACAGAUAUGUUUUCAAACAGCUAAUUACGUGCUAGACAUUGUUCUAGGAAGAGCAGCGAGAGCACUGAACACAACACAGAUGAAGUCGCUGCUCUCAGGGAGCAGACAUUCCAGGUCAGCCACACACACCCCGUUGGAGGGAAGGACUUUUCUGUCAAGAGCAGAGAAGGCGUUUGAAUUUUGAAACUCAAAACCCACGGCUGUGAAGUAACUCAGGACAUAAACAGACCUGUAGAAAUAUUUCCAACCAAGAUCACAGACUCCUGCAUCAUAAAAUCAAUGAAACCACAAGGCGAAAUGACCUGCCGCUUGACUGCCCCCGAGACAUCUCCAGCGGGGACAUUUCCCCUUGUAGCAGAAGCAGCGGCGUGGGGUUCGGGAUUUGCCGUCCAGGCCCUGUGGUUGUGAAUCUGAGGCUAAGAGGGAAGCAUGCAGGGGUGGGUGCGUGUCUGCCUCAUGUUCCUCGCCAUGUUUUGUGGUGGCUUCUGUGCAAACUCCUGCCGCCACGUGAGGCUUUUAUCUGGAGACGAACCUGGGCUGAAGCUCUAGCUCUAGGAAAAGGGGAGUCUCAUCCCAGGUUCCUCCUGCAGAAAGUGGAGCUUGGUGAAGCAAGGCCUGCUGGCCUGCUGGGAGGUGACAAGAUGGCCAGCUCUGUGCAGGCACAUGCUUUGUAAACCCAAAGCUCUGGAUAAAUAACGAGCUUCAUUAUUGAAAGAUGGAAGCACCAAUCCUUGCUAAUGUGCCUGUUAGAACGUCUUAUGCUGUGA